CUAAGAAUAUUCCGCAAUGGACGGAAGUCUGACGGAGCGACGCCGCGUGGAUGACGAAGGCCGAAAGGUUGUAAAGUUCUUUUGCUGGGGAAGAAUAACCGCAGGAGGGAAUGCCUGUGGGAUGACAAGAACCGGCGAAUAAGCCCCGGCCAACUACGUGCCAGCAGCCGCGGUAACACGUAGGGGGCGAGCGUUGUUCGGAAUUACUGGGCGUAAAGGGCAUGUAGGCGGCUUGGAAAGCCUGGCGUGAAAGUCUGCAGCUUAACUGCAGGGGUGCGCUGGGAACUGCUGAGCUUGAGUGACGGAGAGGGAGCUGGAAUUCCUGGUGUAGGGGUGAAAUCUGUAGAUAUCAGGAAGAACACCGAUGGCGAAGGCAAGCUCCUGGCCGAUGACUGACGCUGAGGUGCGAAAGUGUGGGGAUCAAACAGGAUUAGAUACCCUGGUAGUCCACACAGUCAACGAUGUGCACUAGGUGCUGGGGCGGUAGCUUCGGUGCCGGAGCGAACGUGGUAAGUGCACCGCCUGGGGAGUAUGCUCGCAAGGGUGAAACUCAAUGAAUUGACGGGGUCAUAGCUGUUUCC
rnacentral:rRNA from 1 species